GUCCUUGUCGAUUAGUGGUUAGAUCAUCACGUUGUGGCCGUGAAGACACAGGCUCGAAUCCUGUCUGGGACA
rnacentral:tRNA from 1 species